GUCUACGGCCAUACCUAGGCGAAAACACCAGUUCCCGUCUGAUCACUGCAGUUAAGCGUCUGAGGGCCUCGUUAGUACUAUGGUUGGAGACAACAUGGGAAUCCGGGGUGCUGUAGGCUCCU
rnacentral:rRNA from 1 species